rnacentral:rRNA from 1 species
CCUUCGGUCCAUUGGCGGGAANGGAAGGAACGCAAGGCGAAAAUGGCGAAUAAAGUAAAUGGUGGAAUAGCAGGAAUUCAGGGGAAUUCAUCGAAUCUUUUGGAACGCACAUUGCGCCCCUUGGUAUUUCCGAGGGGCAUGCCUGUUUCGAGUCGUCAUUA